AAAAUGAAACGAACCUCAGCCUAUUCAAAGGGCAACUUGGAAGUGCAAGUGGUGCGACUCCUAAGGCCUUGCUCAAUGAAGAGUUGCGCACUAUCAUGAUGUAUGUGUUGACGAACCUAGUGGAAGUCGAGCCGUACAUACAGGAAUUUACUCAACAAUUCUGGCGUCGCCGAAGAGAUCCAACCCCGCAGGAAGUUGACGUCAUUCUUAAAUCCGGUGCGGGACAAAGAGCCCCCGAUUUCAUUUCUUGGUUCAAGCACAAGGUAUAACAAACCAUCAUGCUUGUUAGACAUUUGAAGUUUCUUAUCCGUGCGAAUAGUAUGACAAAUCAUCAUGCUUCUACCUGCAGGCCCAAAAUGACGCGUCUAUGUGUCCCGAGUUGAGACAGGUUGCCAACGGUUGUGCCUAUAGGGUCUUGUCAUAUUCCGGUUAUGACGUUAAUGGAUAUCGCUUUCACACAAGAAGCCACGAGCAGAGUCGGCCCAAUCGAAGAACAACAAAUUCCGGAGUUUGUACGACAGCCCUUGAUGGGGUCGAGUAUUAUGGCAUAAUUGAAGAAAUCUAUGAACUCACAUUUCAUGGUUGCAAACCUCUUAAGCCUGUCAUAUUCAAAUGCCAUUGGUUUGAUCCUAACGAAGUGCGACGGACCCCUCAUCUCGGCCUAGUCGAAAUUCGCCAGUCAUCAGUGUAUCCAGGAGACGAUGUGUAUAUUGUGGCUCAACAAGCCACGCAAGUUUAUUAUCUCUCAUAUCCGUGACAAACUGACGAUCGCCUUAUGGGUUGGGACGUUGUGUACAAGGUAUCACCACACAGUAAAGUACCUAUUCCAAAUAAUGAGGAUUACAACAUAGACCCAAACACAUAUGACAGGGAAUUCUUUCAAGAAGAUGGGCUUGAAGGACAUUUUGAGAUAGACUUAACCGGAGUGAUUGAAAUGGAAGUACACAAUGAUGAAAUGGUUGAUGACGAGGACGCUGGUGAGGAGGUUCGUAAUGCGAAGGACCUAGAAUUACUUGAGCGAUUACAAUUAGGCAAUGACAAUGAGGAUGAAAUUCCACCGUUAGAGCACGGGCUUGAACUUCUCGACUUGCGUGAUAGUGAUGAUGAGACAUAUGAUCCAGCUAAUCCCGAUGAAGAUGAUUAUUUCUAAUACAUGUGAUUGAAGAAAGAUGCCGGGCGGCGGACUUCAACGAUCGGUCGCCUCACUGUACAGAAGAAUGAUGCCACACUCGGAUGCUUGUGAGGGCUCCGAUAGGAGUUCCGGGUUGGGGCGAGGCAAGGGUCAAGGGAAAGGGUGAA